CCUGCCUUCCAAUAAAAAUGGAUAAAUCUUCUGAAAAAAAAAAAAAAGAAGAAGAAGAAAUUUGGAGUGAGGGAUAUGUCACACAGUGGUUGAGAUGCUGUCUGACAUGCCAACAUCUGCUGGCGUACCUAGGUUUGAGUUCUGGCUAGGUUCCCCAUUCCAGCUGCUUGCUAACAUGCAGUGUGGGAAGCAGCAGUAGUGGCUCAAUGAUUUGUCUAGCCAGCUAUCCAUCCUUCCCUGACUCUCUCUGUCUCUAUGCUUCUCCCUUUCUAAUAAAAAAAAAUUUUAAGGAAAUUACUUUGGUCUGUACAACCUAUUUUCUUGAUGAAAGUUACUUUGCCCUCAAUGUUUAGACAUUUUAAUAA